AUUGAACGCUGGCGGCAUGCCUUACACAUGCAAGUCGAGCGGUAGAAGGUCUUCGGCUGCUGGAGUGAGGGGCGCGGGGGUGUGUUACACCGAAACGUGCGCCGACGAGGGGGGUAACGCGGCGGGAGACGGGCUCAAAUAGCGUACGAGCCCUGGAUGAGAGAGGGGGGGAGCAUGGGCCUGCGCGCUUUGAGCGGACGCUGGGUCGGAUUAGCUAGUUGGUGGGGUAAAGGCCUACCAAGGCGACGAUCUGUAGCUGGUCUGAGAGGAUGACCAGCCACACUGGAACUGAGACACGGCCCAGACUCCUACGGGAGGCAGCAGUGGGGAAUAUUGGACAAUGGGCGAAAGCCUGAUCCAGCAAUGCCGCGUGUGUGAUGAAGGUCUUCGGGUUGUAAACCGCUUUUAGUCGGGACGAAGAGGAUCUGGCUAAUACCUUGGUGACAUGACGUUACCGUAAGAAUAAGCACCGGCUAACUACGUG
rnacentral:rRNA from 1 species